UUAGAUGAGCCUAUGUCAGAUUAGCUAGUUGGUGGGGUAAUGGCCUACCAAGGCGGUGAUCUGUAGCUGGUCUGAGAGGAUGAUCAGCCACACUGGAACUGAGACACGGUCCAGACUCCUACGGGAGGCAGCAGUGGGGAAUAUAGGACAAUGGGCGCAAGCCUGAUCCAGCUAUGCCGCGUGAGUGGGGAAGGCCUUAGGGUUGUAAAACUCUUUCAGUAGGGAAGAUAAUGACGGUACCUACAGAAGAAGUCCCGGCAAACUCCGUGCCAGCAGCCGCGGUAAUACGGAGGGGGCAAGCGUUGUUCGGAAUUAUUGGGCGUAAAGGGCAUGUAGGCGGUUUGGUAAGUUAAAGGUGAAAUACCAGGGCUUAACCCUGGGGCUGCUUUUAAUACUGCAGGACUAGAGUCCGGAAGAGGAUAGCGGAAUUCCUAGUGUAGAGGUGAAAUUCGUAGAUAUUAGGAGGAACACCAGUGGCGAAGGCGGCUGUCUGGUCCGGUACUGACGCUGAGGUGCGAAAGCGUGGGGAGCAAAC
rnacentral:rRNA from 1 species